UACGUAGGGGGCAAGCGUUGUCCGGAUUCAUUGGGCGUAAAGCGCGUGUAGGCGGCCAGGUAGGUCCGGUGUGAAAACUCGAGGCUCAACCUCGAGAGGUCAUCGGAAACCAUCUGGCUAGAGUCCGGAAGAGGAGAGUGGAAUUCCUGGUGUAGCGGUGAAAUGCGCAGAUAUCAGGAAGAACACCCGUGGCGAAAGCGGCUCUCUGGAACGGUACUGACGCUGAGACGCGAAAGCGUGGGGAGCGAACAGG
rnacentral:rRNA from 1 species